GGAAGUGUCUCUUGAGGUGAGUCUGAACAACGGCAUCUCCUUCAUUGGCAACAGACUCGUCAUCACCGGAACCAACUGUGGGAGUACCAAGCCUAAGGAGCCACCACCACCGCCACCUCCACCACAGCCAGAGAAGGAUCCAGAGGAGAAC